rnacentral:rRNA from 1 species
AUUGAACGCUGGCGGCAUGCUUUACACAUGCAAGUCGAACGGUAACAGGUUAAGCUGACGAGUGGCGAACGGGUGAGUAAUGCAUCGGAACGUGCCCGAUCGUGGGGGAUAACGCAGCGAAAGCUGCGCUAAUACCGCAUACGAUCUGAGGAUGAAAGCGGGGGACCGUAAGGCCUCGCGCGAUCGGAGCGGCCGAUGUCAGAUUAGGUAGUUGGUGGGGUAAAGGCUCACCAAGCCAACGAUCUGUAGCUGGUCUGAGAGGACGACCAGCCACACUGGGACUGAGACACGGCCCAGACUCCUACGGGAGGCAGCAGUGGGGAAUUUUGGACAAUGGGCGAAAGCCUGAUCCAGCAAUGCCGAGUGCAGGAAGAAGGCCUUCGGGUUGUAAACUGCUUUUGUACGGAGCGAAAAGGCCCUCCCUAAUACAGUGGGCUUAUGACGGUACCGUAAGAAUAAGCACCGGCUAACUACGUGCCAGCCGCCGCAGUAA